ACAGUUAGUUUUACCCUACUAAUGACAAAACGUUGUUGCGACAGCAUUCGUGCGUAGUACGAGAGGAACCGCAGGUACGGACCAAUGGCACAAUACUUGUUCGAGCGAACAGUGGUAUGACGCUACGUCCGUUGGAUUAUGCUGAACGCCUUCUAAGGUCGUAUCCGUGCUGGACUGCAAUGAUAAAUAAGGGGCAAUUUGCAUUGUAUGGCUUCUAAACCAUUUAAAGUUUAUAAUUUAUUUUAUAAACGACAAUGGAUGUGAUGCCAAUGUAAUUUGUAACAUAGUAAAUUAGGAGGAUCUUCGAUCACCUGAUGCCGCGCUAGUUACAUAUAAAAGCAUUAUUUAAUACAAUGACAAAGCCUAGAAUCAAUUGUAAACGACUUUUGUAACAGGCAAGGUGUUGUAAGUGGUUGAGCAGCUGCCAUACUGCGAUCCACUGAAGCUUAUCCUUUGCUUGAUGAUUCGA
rnacentral:ncRNA from 1 species